rnacentral:lncRNA from 1 species
GUCAGGGACCUCAGGUGGCUGAAUUCAGAAGAGAGCUGCUUUCUGCUGGUGGCCUGAAACAAAGGGAACUUCUUGACACAGAUUUAGCCCAAAUCCUGGAAACAAGAACUGGGAAACACCAGUUAAAGUGGAUGGAUUGCUUUGAGCCAAGUAGCAGAAGAAGCAAACUCAAUAUCCAAACUGGGAUGGCGGGUCACCUUUCCACUGCCCAUGGGAAGGUUUUCUGAAGACUUCAAGUUACGUGAGUUCAGUCACUGCAAGAGAUGCCACACCAGCCAGGUCUUCAGUGUGAGAGCCGCCUGCCAGUGGACAGCAGCCCCAGGAAAAGAUGCCUCUGGGAACUCUGCCUCAUGGCCCAGCACUUCAGAGAAAGGCCCCAUCCUGCGCCCGUCACCCCUGUGGCCACCAGAGACAGAGGUGAUGAAGUGCCAGCUCUGAGGACGCAACCAUGGACCGCUGUGUCUGACC